AAGAGCUCGUAGGCGGUUUGUCGCGUCUGCUGUGAAAGCCCGGGGCUCAACCCCGGGUCUGCAGUGGGUACGGGCAGACUAGAGUGCAGUAGGGGAGACUGGAAUUCCUGGUGUAGCGGUGAAAUGCGCAGAUAUCAGGAGGAACACCGAUGGCGAAGGCAGGUCUCUGGGCUGUUACUGACGCUGAGGAGCGAAAGCAUGGGGAGCGAACAGGAUUAGAUACCCUGGUAGUCCAUGCCGUAAACGUUGGGCACUAGGUGUGGGGGACAUUCCACGUUUUCCGCGCCGUAGCUAACGCAUUAAGUGCCCCGCCUGGGGAGUACGGCCGCAAGGCUAAAACUCAAAGGAAUUGACGGGGGCCCGCACAAGCGGCGGAGCAUGCGGAUUAAUUCGAUGCAACGCGAAGAACCUUACCAAGGCUUGACAUUCACCGGACCGCCCCAGAGAUGGGGUUUCCCUUCGGGGCUGGUGGACAGGUGGUGCAUGGUUGUCGUCAGCUCGUGUCGUGAGAUGUUGGGUUAAGUCCCGCAACGAGCGCAACCCUCGUUCUAUGUUGCCAGCACGUGAUGGUGGGGACUCAUAGGAGACUGCCGGGGUCAACUCGGAGGAAGGUGGGGAUGACGUCAAAUCAUCAUGCCCCUUGUGUCUUGGGCUUCACGCAUGCUACAAUGGCCGGUACAAAGGGUUGCGAUACUGUGAGGUGGAGCUAAUCCCAAAAAGCCGGUCUCAGUUCGGAUUGAGGUCUGCAACUCGACCUCAUGAAGUCGGAGUCGCU
rnacentral:rRNA from 1 species